rnacentral:rRNA from 1 species
UACAGAGGUGGCAAGCGUUGUUCGGAAUUACUGGGCGUAAAGGGCGCGUAGGCGGUUCGUCAAGUCCUGUGUGAAAUCCCCCGGCUCAACUGGGGAACUGCACAGGAAACUCGCGGGCUUGAGUUCGGGAGAGGGAAGCGGAAUUCCGGGUGUAGCGGUGAAAUGCGUAGAUAUCCGGAGGAACACCGGUGGCGAAGGCGGCUUCCUGGACCGACACUGACGCUGAGGCGCGAAAGCUAGGGGAGCAAACGGG